CCGCAGUGACAGCAAUAUUUUUCAUCCACAGUUCACCUCAUGAAUGUUGUCACUUUGGGUCUGAGUGA
rnacentral:snoRNA from 10 species